ensembl:lncRNA
AAUUGAUGUAUUAUCAAAGGCCCAAUUCAAGCCUGCUGUCUUUCCAGGGGCCCUAAGCCCCACCUUGCUUUCCUGCCUUCCUGGAUCCUGUCUGCUUAACAAUUCUUCUAUUGAUUUCUCAGGCUUCACCUGGAAUUUCACCUGGGUAAAGCUGGCAGGAUCAGAUGAACAUUUCAAACACAGAAAUAGCUCAUAUCUAGACGGGUGCCUUUGCUUGGCUUCUAGUCCUGCCUUGUACACCAGUGACAGAGCCAAGGUAACUGAGUCAUGGAAACUGCAUACUAAGUUGGGCAAAAGGAAAGUCGCUUCAGUCGUGUCCAACUCUGUGCGACCCCAUAGACAGCAGCCCACCAGGCUCCCCCAUCCCUGGGAUUCUCCAAGGAAGAACACUGGAGUGGGUUGCCAUUUCCUUCUCCAAUUCAUGAAAGUAAAAAGUGAAAGUGAAGUCGCUCAGUCGUGUCCGACUCUUCGAGACCCCAUGGACUACAACCUACCAGGCUCCUCCGUCCAUGGGAUUUUCCAGGCAAGAGUACUGG